rnacentral:lncRNA from 1 species
AAAGUCAAAGGACCUUGGAGAAAAAAUUUCAGAAUUUUUAAAGACUUAAAAGUAUUUUUAAACAAUUAAAAAUAAACACAAAAUCAAUUAAAUCAUGAAAAAUAUUAAUAAGGAUCCAAAAACUAAUUUUAUUUCAAAAUAUGAAAGAGGAAAUUAUUUGAAAAUAUUUGGUGAAACUCUCAUAUUUUUUGGAUCAAUAUUAAAAUU